AGAGUUUGAUCAUGGCUCAGGAUGAACGCUAGCUACAGGCUUAACACAUGCAAGUCGAGGGGCAGCAUUUCAGUUUGCUUGCAAACUGGAGAUGGCGACCGGCGCACGGGUGAGUAACACGUAUCCAACCUGCCGAUAACUCGGGGAUAGCCUUUCGAAAGAAAGAUUAAUACCCGAUGGCAUAAUUAGACCGCAUGGUCUUAUUAUUAAAGAAUUUCGGUUAUCGAUGGGGAUGCGUUCCAUUAGGCAGUUGGUGAGGUAACGGCUCACCAAACCUUCGAUGGAUAGGGGUUCUGAGAGGAAGGUCCCCCACGAUUGGAACUGAGACACGGUCCAAACUCCUACGGGAGCA
rnacentral:rRNA from 1 species